rnacentral:rRNA from 1 species
UGGGGAAUAUUGCACAAUGGGCGCAAGCCUGAUGCAGCCAUGCCGCGUGUGAAGAAGGCCUUCGGGUUGUAAAGCACUUUCAGCGAGGAGGAAGGGUAGUGUGUUAAUAGCACAUUGCAUUGACGUUACUCGCAGAAGAAGCACCGGCUAACUCCGUGCCAGCAGCCGCGGUAAUACGGAGGGUGCAAGCGUUAAUCGGAAUUACUGGGCGUAAAGCGCACGCAGGCGGUUUGUUAAGUCAGAUGUGAAAUCCCCGCGCUUAACGUGGGAACUGCAUUUGAAACUGGCAAGCUAGAGUCUUGUAGAGGGGGGUAGAAUUCCAGGUGUAGCGGUGAAAUGCGUAGAGAUCUGGAGGAAUACCGGUGGCGAAGGCGGCCCCCUGGACAAAGACUGACGCUCAGGUGCGAAAGCGUGGGGAGCAAACA